rnacentral:rRNA from 1 species
UAGGGAAUCUUCGGCAAUGGACGGAAGUCUGACUGAGCAACGCUGCGUGAGUGAAGAAGGUUUUCGGAUCGUAAAGCUCUGUUGUUAGAGAAGAACGUUGGUAGGAGUGGAAAAUCUACCAAGUGACGGUAACUAACCAGAAAGGGACGGCUAACUACGUGCCAGCAGCCGCGGUAAUACGUAGGUCCCGAGCGUUGUCCGGAUUUAUUGGGCGUAAAGCGAGCGCAGGCGGUUCUUUAAGUCUGAAGUUAAAGGCAGUGGCUUAACCAUUGUACGCUUUGGAAACAGGAGGACUUGAGUGCAGAAGGGGAGAGUGGAAUUCCAUGUGUAGCGGUGAAAUGCGUAGAUAUAUGGAGGAACACCGGUGGCGAAAGCGGCUCUCUGGUCUGUAACUGACGCUGAGGCUCGAAAGCGUGGGGAGCAAACAGA